UACGGGGGGGGCAAGCGUUGUUCGGAAUUACUGGGCGUAAAGGGCUCGUAGGCGGCCAACUAAGUCAUACGUGAAAUCCCUCGGCUUAACCGGGGAACUGCAUCUGAUACUGGUUGGCUUGAAUCCGGGAGAGGGAUGUGGAAUUCCAGGUGUAGCGGUGAAAUGCGUAGAUAUCUGGAGGAACACCGGUGGCGAAGGCGGCAUCCUGGACCGGUAUUGACGCUGAGGAGCGAAAGCCAGGGGAGCAAACGGG
rnacentral:rRNA from 1 species